rnacentral:lncRNA from 1 species
GGAUUCUUCUCUAUUUGGACCCACUAAUAAUUCACCAUAAAGCGGAACAAAGUGUCUACACCCUUUCAUAUGCCAAAGGGUUUAGUGGAAAUCCCCAAAGGCAUUUGCAGAAGCUGAGGCGGAUCCUAAACACACAGAACAUCCCAACUUUUUAGAAACACCGUGAUUGAAGAUUGUUGGAUUGUUGUUCUCUUCCAAGAAAAGAGUUUGAGAUAAAGAAAAAUAGGACCCCCAGCCCUGGUGGUCCUCAGACUUACCUGACUUGUCUGCCUGUGGAUGCUCUUAAUGCAGCCCAGCGGAAUGGCACCCAAUCGCUUACAUCUCAGAAGCAAAGAAUGACAUUGUUGUCCCAGGGAACAGGCUUGAAUAACCUCCCUGCAGCAUUCUCCAAAACCUGUCUCCUGAGUUCGUUUUGAGACCUUGAAAGAGAAACCAGGCCCAGCCUCACACACUCCUGAUUUGGGUUCUAAAAUGAUGAAAUGAGUGAGGAUGAAGGGGCUUCUGCCACAGCUCUCAGUCAUGGGCACCGACCGGUCACACAUCUGUCAAAGUCACAAUCAGCCCAGGGACUUAAUAUCUUUGAGGGAACAGAGAACUUCUCUUUCAGGAGGACUUAAAGAGACGAAUUAAGGCUUGUCAGUGGGAUUUUAAACACCUACAACUCUGGUUCAAACUUUCUCACCGGAAGAUAGAUGGGUCUCCAGCAUCAUAAGUUCAGGAAGGAGUAUUCAUUGAUUGUAAGAGCCGAUGAGAUAGAAAAAAAUGAUGAAAGGUCUCCAGGAGACAUCAACCGAUUGGCCUUCUCUUUGAAACUCUCUCCCUCUCCGUGGACUGGAGAUUCAUCCAACUGUCAGGGGCGCUGGUGCAGCCCUGCCUUUCCCACCCUGCCCGCCCUCAUCUCUGCUACCCUGGCCAACUGUUCCAGAAAAGUCCACAUCCCACUUGCUGGGUUUUUUGGGUGUCUGUACCAGCAACAACUUCUACAUUGGUUUGUGUAUUUCCUCAGGUGGAUAUGAAAGCUUCUAACGCUGCACAAGCAACAUGACAAAUGGAAUAGUUGUUGGGAGGAAAUGACUUGUGUUAGAAAUACAACGAGCUACCUGAAGACCCUUCUUUGGGUUUUACCAUUUACCUGGUCUGGUCAGGCCCCGUGGGCAGCACAAUCUGGGACCCAGGUAGCAGGGAGAAUCCAUUCCAUGCCAGCUAGAUAUAUCACAAUAUAUCAGGAAUUGCUUACUUCAAGACACUAUGAAAAUGAGAAUGCAUAAUCGAGUUGAUUGGAAUACACCGUGGAAUUAAAAUUACAUACGUUUUAUAAUGAGGAGGCCUGAGUCUCUAAGUACUAAGUAUGGUAAAAACAUAUUCCCCUCAUGAAGAAAAAUCCUGACACAUUUAGGAAGCUAGGGGAGUUUAAUUCUUUCGCUUCCCACAAAAGAUGUCAACUGAAGCUGUCUGGCUGGAGAGGUGAAGCGAAGAGAGGGGUCAGAGGGUAGGUGGCCUUUACAAGGGAGGAAGUGAACACCCGCGCCUGCUGAGAGUCACGGGAGAGGAGGGACAAGCGGACCUGAGAAAUAUCUCCUUGGUGAUUCCUCCCAUGUUAAGGUCACCUCUGGAGCCUGGGACUAGUUCUGGGCAGGGUCUGGCCCCCAGCCAUCCCACCAGCUCUCAAGGCCUCUGGUAUUUUACCUCCACCCCCCAAGCCACCUAGACCCUCUGUCAUCCAAGUUUAUAUGCGUAAGAUCCAUGGGGUGGCUGCUCCGUGCUGAUCCUGUGCCUGAGAACUUCCCUCUGGGUAGCCUGGCUGGGACCUCGCUGCCGUUUCCAGAAGCGCAAGUGAAUUGGUCUACCAGCACAUCACUGCCCUCUCUGUCCAGUGUGGAGUCUUUCUUAUGACAGUUACACUGGUCCUGACUUUUUGUCUGGGCAUCCUUGUCAGGAAGACGGCUUCCAUGGGAUGCUCCUUCACUUGGUAAGGAGCUAGAAAUAGGGUAAGGGUGAGUAGUGAGAUUCUGAUGGCUUUUGGAGGACUUCUAUGCCUGGGCAUCUUUCAUAAGAUACUGCAGUGUGUUCCCAUGCCUGAUGCCCACAGGAGAGCCAAGGAGGACUGAGGAUUUCUGACCCCACUGCCUGGCUCCUAGAGGGUCUGUGACAGACAACCAGGACCUCUGCCUGUUCCUCACCACGUUCCACGUGGCAUUUAUCAGCCGAGAAGGGGUCUCCAAGCUGAGCUGCAGAAGCAGAAUUGUAUUAAGGAUUUGAGUGCAAGUAGCUUGUGCUGAGAGGUGACUCCAGGAAACAUCAGGCUAAUCCCACUCGGGAACUCUGGAAACUGGCGUAGAUUAUGUGACUCAGUUACUCCACUUGAGGAUGAGAGGUCAGGUGUUUCGACACGGCCUGUUCUUGGUCUUUGGCGGAGGGUUUUUGGGGUUGGGGAAUUUAAUUCGCCUCUGGCUUUCCUGCCUGCUUCCAGGGAGGGCAACAUGGGCUCUCGCUGCCAGAGGGAACAUUUUGGGCACCGCCAGGCAGAGUGUUGGCAGGAAGAAGUCAGGCUGGUGUACCCGGGUGGGCUAUGGAGGAGGAACGUGGGCGGGGCGCUGAGGGCUUCUAAGUCCUCUGAGCUCCCUUUUCCCCAUGUCCACCCACUGUAGUCUCUAGGGAACCUUGCGCCAAUGACUGGGUGGCACUGGACUCAUUUCCGGCACACUCAGACUUGGCGGAAGUGGAAUAUAGACCUCCUGCUGGCCUCGGAUGUACUCAAUCCUGUGAGGGGUUUCCUGUGUCAGCCGGCUCAUGGAAUCCAGGCCUAGACAGCUCAACAGAGGUUGUUGUCACAGGCCACUUGGUUCCUUUAACACGUUCAUGGGGCAACGGGGGUGCCCUGUAACCGAAUCCAUAUGCCUGACAUUCAGAUUCUGCCUCAGCUCCCUCCUCAUCACACCAACUCAGUUUUGGAACCUCCUUGAUGUUUCUGGGAACCUCUGAGACCAGCCCCCACGAACACCCACAGCUUCUCUGUUGCUGGCCUGUCUGUGUCACAGGUGGUCUGAGCUUCACUCACCGGUCUUGACCUGAGGAGCUCACACACAUUGGUGGAGCAAUAAGGCAGGGAGAUGAGCCUGUACCUAUGCAAGAGCUCAGACGGAGCUGCCUAGUUUCCAGUCCCCAGCUCCCAACGGGUCUCCUUGGGUGCUGAGCAACGGGGCCCUUCGGCUGGACGGUUGCACAAAGAUGGUGCCCACAGUCUCAACAUGAGGGUGCAUUUGGUGUUCAGGAAAUUAGGAGGACCAUGCCCCCUUUAUUUCAGCCUCUGCAGCCUCAAGGCCAAGAGCUGUUGUUUGUAAUCAAUCAGUCAAUCAGCCAAGCAACAAAUGUGAAUGAGGCCACCACUGUUGGCCAAGCAAAGGGGCAGAUGCUGGAGCAAAGACGCAGAUGUUGGAAAUUCUUGCCUUUGGAAAAUGUACUCUCUAGAUGAAGAGACCCAGUUUUCAACAUAUGACUCUAAGGUAUGUGAUUGAAUUUUUAGAAUUAACAUGCCAGAAUUUUGACAGGGCCAAUUCUUCCUCCUGUGUUCCCAUAUUCAAGGAUUAUCAUUCCAAUGACAUAGCGUUUAUGACUGUACUUACACAGCUUUGCACUGCAACAUGUUUGUGGUAACGACGUGGGAUGGCAGAAAUGUGAAAAUGAUUUUUCUCAGUCGCCCUGAAACCUGAGGUUAUUCUCCUUAAUCACCAGACAGUGAUGCAACAUUUUUAAUGAACAUGCACAGGGCUUGGAGAGGUAGGUGAGAGAAAAUGCUAACAGUGCCGAACAAGCAGCAGGGCACAGAGGCACGUGUGAUUUGCACUUGUGUAGAAUUGGAGAUUUUAACUUCAAAAAGCCUAAUUGAGGAGGAUUCUUUCUUUAUGCAGAGAAGCGCUGAUUUCGAGGGGUACAAAGCACCAAACAUCUACUGUGAUCCAAGUGGUUUCUGCGGAUUUUAGCCUCACACAACCCCUCUUUGGUCAAUUUUGCUUUCCUGCAUUUGCCAGAUGAGGAAACUGUAGCUCAGAGGGCUGAGACAACCUGGGCUCCCUCACACACCUGACAGGUGUGAAUGAUGGCCUGGGGGACCUGCCACCCCUGCCCAGGGAGGGGUCUCAGCAAGGGCUGCAGUUAAUACAGGGUUUGACUCUGCGUUAAGGCAUGACAGAGAGCUUUGCCAAAAGCCCCACUGGGGAUUUCAUUUCCAGGAAAACCAAGGUGGGUGCCAGCCAGGGGCUGCCACAAAUUGGCUGGCGCUGCCCAGACAAGGAGGCUCAAGUGACGUUAUCAUCGUGGAGUGUAACAACCAAGUCUGCGCUAUCAAUGCGGCUUCAAAACCCCAAAUCUAAUUCUUGGUGUGGGAGAUACAGAGCAAGGGAGAGGGCGAGAAAGGUUCUAAUAAAAGAACCAGUGCCGGGCGAAUUCCAUUUCUUAGAAAGAAUCUUAAGAAGUUCUUUCUUUUGUCUGCAUUGUCAUCAACUCUCUGCCUGCUGUGCUGGCUUUCUCCCCACUCCCCUUCCCCUCAAUAUGCAUCGAAACUUCUUUCUCCUCUUUUGUUCAGUUUCGCGGGAAAGAUCUUUGGAGCAGAAGGAAUGGGCGCCUUUAGCAAGCUCGGAUAUCAAAUAAUUUUUCACCUCCCUGUAAUUGAAAUCACAGGAGCGGGAUCUGCUUCCCUCUUCUCUUGUUCUCCGGGAUCACAGAUGGAGUGGGGUGAGGGUGCUAUUGACUCCCCACGGCUUGUCAUCUGACAGACACGGACACACCAGCCAGGAAGGGGUCUGACUCUUAGAUGAAUUCUUUUAUCCUCAAAGGGGGCUUCCUGCAAAGGAAACCAUUAGUGUUUUGCUAUCGGGUUUCUACUCCCCAUGGUGUCUAAGAAACCAUUCAUUUAAUUUUGUGACAUUUUGAGUGGAUUUGGAGAGCUAAGCCCAUUUGAAAAGGCCUGUUCCUGUCUAGGAGGACAGAGGAAAUGCAAAUAAAAUCCAAAUGGUCAAACCCC